AAAUUGCAAAAGAUUUACAGGAAAAAGCCCACUCAUUGAAAAUUAUCCACAGGGAAACACAGAGGGGUAUUAGUUACCUUCUGACUGGCAGAUUAUUACACAUUUAAUUUAAUGUGCAGAGUUUAGUGUAUAGUGGAGGAUCUGUGAUGCUGUGGGCCUGCUUCUCUUUCACACAGCAUGGGAAUCUUGGUAGUGCUCUUGAAAAUACCAGGGCAUUUUAAAUAUUAAAUGAAAACCUCGAUAUUGAUUGGAAAAUGUGAAGAAAUGAUUCAUCAAACUGACAAAUAGCUAAGACACAUUUAUCUUCCUGUAUAUGGGAUGUAAAAGAUGGCACGAGUCCCAAAGAAUGAAACAUUUUUGAAGUCACUAACUUGCUAAACGUUUUAUUUAAAUUUUACUUUACUUCUUAAAUCACCUAUAUUAUAGUCGCUAAGUCAAAGCUAAGACGAGCAGAGGAGUGUAGUAACAAUAUUUACUCAUUUGGGUAACUUUUUGGGGAAAAUGUACUUUCAAGACUAGCUUUGCAACACUGUAGUUCAUGGGUGUCCAAAGUGUGGCCCAGGGGUCAUUUGUGGGCCUUGAACUGAUUUUGUGCGGCCCUCAACUGCUAUUCAAGGAUGACAUAAAUUUGAACCACCAUCACAGAUGCAGAUGGAGACUUUUUAUUUGUGAUAAAGGUAAAAAUUAUAACCGUUUUUUCUUUUCUUUUUUUUUUGCAGCAACCCAAAAUACUCACUUUUUAUAACUAAGCUUUUAUAAUAAAUAUGCUACUAAAAAGGUGACAUUGCUGCAUCCAAAUCAACAUUAAUUAAUUUAUUAAACUUGGGUACAUAUAGCAAGCAUUUUGACAGAAUGUGACGCAACUACAUGUAUUUAUUUUAAUACAUCAAACGUGCAAAAUCCUGUUUCAAUUUUUAGAUCUAUAACUACAAAAAAUAACUACUUCAUUUGCUUGAUUUUACUUUUUUAAUUCUUUUUAUUUUAUUGGCCUUCGAACACUUUUAACCCAACGAUUUUGGCCCAUAUGACAAAUAAUUUGGACAUCCCUGCUGUAGUUUUUACUAUAGCUUGAUUAAUGUUAUUAUGAAGUAUUGCUUCUCUUACCAGAGUCAAAUAUUCAAAUUUUAACUAAAAGAUGCGUGAAACACAGAUACAAGUGAGACCUCCUGUUUGUUCACAAGAUUUGUUGUUCUAAUGUUUUUAAACGGCCGAGCCUGCAAAUAUUAUAGUACAGAAGAUAUUAUCACUGGAAGUAUUUCACAAAGCUCAUACAUAUUUAAAUACUCAUGCAUGAGUACACUCUUGGGAACUACAGCUUACACAUGUCAACGCCAGUCAGAUGACCUGUGUGUUUUCAGUCCCGCGGCUCCUCCCUCUUCCCGACAAACGGAAAUCUUCCCUUACAUCUCCCCAAACAAAACUGUGUCGAGUCCUAACAAAAAGCUAUCCUCGUGUUAAAAAAA